CAUAGCUCAGUAGGAUAGAGCGACUGCCUCCUAAGCAGUAGGUCGUGGGUUCGACUCCCACUGGA
rnacentral:tRNA from 1 species